GAUCUCAGUGUCGCUACUAGUCGCUACCAUAGUAGCCACUGUCCGAUUUUUGAGUUAAGGACAAUCUCUGACAUGAUGUCCCAUCUCGUCACGUCGCCAGCAUCUGAUCUUACUAUAGUCCCUCAUCUUGGAUCUGGAUCACCUAUCUUAUGAUCUCCUGUCGCUUCAUCUUCUGCCACCACAUCCUCUAGUUACCGCCAUAGUUGAGUCAUCGCUUGGACUCAAAGUCUGGUUCUUCCACCUAAGAACUUCAUUGUGGAGAGUGCAGAAGUUACCUUUUCCAUCUUGAUGGUGCUAUUUCCUAUUAGAAUAGCAGUCACCAAGGACUCG
rnacentral:lncRNA from 1 species